GCCGAUGACUCAUCGCCCGGAAUGUGCCCGAUCUCUUAAGAUCUCAGAAGCUAAGCGGGUUUUGGCCUGGAUAGCUAUUGGUCGGGCAACCGCCAUGCACCAACAGGUAGUAUAGGCU
rnacentral:rRNA from 1 species